GAGGGUAUAGCUCACAGUGGUAGAGUGCAUGCUUAGCAUGCAUGAGGUCCUGGGUUCAAUCCCCAGUACCUCCU
rnacentral:tRNA from 1 species